rnacentral:rRNA from 1 species
AACGAACGCUGGCGGCAGGCCUAAUACAUGCAAGUCGAACGAACCUUCGGGUUAGUGGCGCACGGGUGCGUAACGCGUGGGAAUGUACACCUUGGUAAGGAACAACGUCGGGAAACUGACGCUAAUACCUUAUAAUAUCUCCGGAUCAAAGAUUUAUCGCCAAGGGAUCAGCCCGCGUCUGAUUAGCUAGUUGGUGGGGUAAUGGCCCACCAAGGCGAUGAGCAGUAGCUGGUCUGAGAGGAUGAUCAGCCACACUGGAACUGAGACACGGUCCAGACUCCUACGGGAGGCAGCAGUAAGGAAUAUUGGACAAUGGGGGCAACCCUGAUCCAGCCAUGCCGCGUGUGUGAAGAAGGCCUUAGGGUUGUAAAGCACUUUCAAACGUGAAGAUAAUGACGGUAGCGUUAGAAGAAGCUCCGGCUAAAUUCGUGCCAGCCGCCGCAGUAA